ncrna:unclassified sequences RT-6 RNA
UGCCUCAUACGAAAGGUAUGAGGGAAGGAGAUUGUUGUCAACUGUUCUGCAAGAAUGUUCUCGAGAACAUCUAGC